rnacentral:rRNA from 1 species
AUGGCCAUCGCUAAUUCAUAUGAUGCAGAGCAGGAUGCCUUUAUCAUUAAUGGGAGACCAUGUAGGAUCACACUAGAAGAUGUAGUGCAUAUAACAGGCUUGCCCUGCCAUGGGAAGAAGCACGCCCCUUCAAAUCUUGAUGAUAAUAUGGAGUUGUGGAAGAAACUGAAAGACCAUAAUCACACCAAAAUAACUUUGGAACGAUUGCUAGCCAGGAUGAAAGGCGGCAUCACACCAAAUUUUGUCAGGCCAUUUGUCUUGUACACCAUAGGCAAAUAUGUAUGCCGAACAAAAGAGGAGUAUGUGGAGAACAAAUAUAUUGGGAUUGUUAGAAACAUUGAGACGACAAAGGGCACAAAACUUGGACAGCUAACGCUUGACUAUCUUAUGGAUAGCAUGAAGAAUUUUGUAAAUGGUGAGGCAAUUCUAGAGGGGAAUCUACCACUACUGCAGUAUGUGGAGGACCUGAUGAGGCCUUUCAUUCCAGCACGAGAUGGUACGCUGGCCAAACCAAAGACUGUCGCUCAGAUUAAGGUACUCGUCGGACGUGUAUUGACCGAUUUGCAAGAAGUUGACUCCCUCGUGCGGGAGGCCGGUGCAGAACAAGUUGUUACGAUGUGCACGCUUGAAAAGAAAAUGGAUGAGUGCCUUAGGCGUACUAGUACAAAUGGCAAGAUCACAGAGGACCUCAUCAAAGAAUUGAACAAAAAACGUGAUGAAAUAUUUCCAAGAGGGGAGGACAUACAUCUUUCUGACCUCGGGGCACCUUCACACCCAAUGGAGGCCUCUGUUGAGAAUGCUGAGCAGGCUUCUGACUAG